rnacentral:rRNA from 1 species
GAUGAACGCUAGCGGCAGGCUUAAUACAUGCAAGUCGAGGGGUAGCAAGAUUGUAGCAAUACAAUUGUUGACGACCGGCAAACGGGUGCGGAACACGUACACAACCUUCCUACAAGUGGGGAAUAGCCCAGAGAAAUUUGGAUUAAUACCCCGUAACAUAGCGAUGUGGCAUCACAUUGCCAUUAUAGCUCCGGCGCUUGUUGAUGGGUGUGCGUCUGAUUAGAUAGUUGGCGGGGUAACGGCCCACCAAGUCUACGAUCAGUAGCCGAUGUGAGAGCAUGAUCAGCCACACGGGCACUGAGACACGGGCCCGACUCCUACGGGAGGCAGCAGUAAGGAAUAUUGGACAAUGGACGCAAGUCUGAUCCAGCCAUGCCGCGUGGAGGAUUAAGGUCCUCUGGAUUGUAAACUUCUUUUAUAAGGGACGAAAAAAGGUCUUUCUAGAUCGUCUGACGGUACCUUAUGAAUAAGCACCGGCUAACUCCGUGCCAGCAGCCGCGGUAACAC